ACUCCUACGGGAGGCAGCAGUGGGGAAUAUUGCACAAUGGGCGCAAGCCUGAUGCAGCCAUGCCGCGUGUGUGAAGAAGGCCUUCGGGUUGUAAAGCACUUUCAGUCGUGAGGAAGGUAGUGUAGUUAAUAGCUGCAUUAUUUGACGUUAGCGACAGAAGAAGCACCGGCUAACUCCGUGCCAGCAGCCGCGGUAAUACGGAGGGUGCGAGCGUUAAUCGGAAUUACUGGGCGUAAAGCGUGCGUAGGCGGCUUUUUAAGUCGGAUGUGAAAUCCCUGAGCUUAACUUAGGAAUUGCAUUCGAUACUGGGAAGCUAGAGUAUGGGAGAGGAUGGUAGAAUUCCAGGUGUAGCGGUGAAAUGCGUAGAGAUCUGGAGGAAUACCGAUGGCGAAGGCAGCCAUCUGGCCUAAUACUGACGCUGAGGUACGAAAGCAUGGGGAGCAAACAGGAUUAGAUACCCUGGUAGGUG
rnacentral:rRNA from 1 species